rnacentral:lncRNA from 1 species
GGAAAAAUCUAAUAAUGGGUCAAGUCAAGGGGGACCAAGACAAAGAGCAGAAGCUUUGGCUGCUUUAAAUAAUGCAUUCAAUUCAUCUCCUGAGACACCACCCAGUGCGGUAUGGCAACUUGUUUAUCGAUGGCUUGCUAUCCUUUUCUUUAUUUUACAGUCGGUGACCAUUAAACCAACAACAGAAUCUCCUGAUGCGAUAAGAGGGC